UACGGAGGGUGCGAGCGUUGUCCGGAAUCAUUGGGCGUAAAGGGCGCGUAGGUGGCUUCUCAAGCGUGCGGUGAAAGCCUGGGGCUCAACCCCGGGUCGGCCGUGCGAACUGGGGGGCUGGAGCACUGUAGAGGCAGGCGGAAUUCCGGGUGUAGCGGUGGAAUGCGUAGAGAUCCGGAAGAACACCGGUGGCGAAGGCGGCCUGCUGGGGCAGUUGCUGACACUGAGGCGCGACAGCGUGGGGAGCAAACAGG
rnacentral:rRNA from 1 species